CACGGAGUUAGCCGAUGCUUUUUCUUCGGAUACACGCAGUCCGGGACACAUCCCGGGUUUUGUUCUCCGACAAAAGAGGUUUACAACCCAUAGGGCCGUCUUCCCUCACGCGGCUUGGCUGGUUCAGGAUCUCUCCCAUUGACCAAUAUUCCUCACUGCUGCCUCCCGUAGGAGUCUGGUCCGUGUCUCAGUACCAGUGUGGGGGACCUUCCUCUCAGAACCCCUACGCAUCGUCGCCACGGUGGGCCGUUACCCCGCCGUCAAGCUAAUGCGCCGCAUGCCCAUCCUCUUCCGAUGAAUCUUUCCUCGAUCUCGGAUGCCCGAAACCGAUAUACGCGGGAUUAGCCUCCCUUUCGGAAGGUUGUCCCCCUGAAGAGGGCAGGUUGCAUACGUGUUACUCACCCGUGCGCCGGUCGCCGGCAAGGAAAGCAAGCUUCCCUCCCGAUGCCCCUCGACUUGCAUGUGUUAAGCCUGCCGCUAGCGUUCAUCCUGAGCCAGGAUCAAACUCU
rnacentral:rRNA from 1 species